GCCCGCCUAGCUCAAUCGGAUAGAGCGUCAGACUUUUACGACUAUCGGCUCCGUUUGACGUAAUCUGAAGGCUGCGAGUUCGACCCUCGCGGUGGGCU